rnacentral:lncRNA from 7 species
AUGGGACCUAACUGAACGUAUAAUUGAAACAGUGAGACCACCUGGAUACACAACGUUGUCAACUAUAAAAAGGCAUACACAUACAACAUAUGGUUGCUGGUAUAAGCAGGCCAAGCAACUUUUACAGGCACUUCUUGAGUAGCAAGAAAAAAAAGAUUUUAAAGCUGUAGAUGGGAGUACAAUAAAGGACUGUACUUGCUGAAUGUAAGCUGCGUGUCAACUACAUCUGAAAGCAAGAGUGAAGAGCUGGCAGAUGUAGCAUAUAUAGACUAUGCUGGUCAUCAUCCUGUGCAAAACCAUAGGAAGAUUGGUGUCCCACCUCAGGAAGCUUCUCAGGAGACACAAUAGGAUUGACAGCAGGAGCAUGCAGGGGCCACAAGACUGGAAAACUGAGUUGUGGGAAUGUGGUGUGCUUGCCAGCAGCCUAGAGACACGGUUAGGAGUAGAACAUCAGUUUUUAAACUUACAUGGUUUGUUUUAACUAUAUCACUUUUAUUAAGGUCAGAAGACAGAGCUUUCCUUGUGCAGACAACCAUAUAUACAUAAAAAAAAAAAAAAAAGGGUUAAAAAUGCCAGAAGUAAUGUUUCUUUAAAUAACUUGUAACAGUCUACCAAAUUCAACAAAUUUUAACAAUGUUUGAUUCUGGUCAUAAUAUCAAGUUACAACUGCAUUUACAUUAUUUCUCUGUUGUUAUUUUACUGUCAGUAAAAUUUACAUGCUUUUUAUUGAAUCACGCAAACUUCUUGUGGAAGACAGCUGUUCACUGUGAGACUUCCUGUCUCAUCUUGCUAGACAAGAAGAAAUGAGAAAAAUGGGUUUAUACACGUUAGUCCCACUAUCCAUUUCCUCUUAUAUGGUGUGUGACUAACUGAUAGCUAAUGGGAUUUAGGAAAGGAUGCUACAGAAACUUGUACUAUCAUGUUCUCUCAGCAAGAGUAAUAGAGAGCAGAAAGGCUUUGUGGAAGCCAGGCUGGGUUGAAGAACAUGAGAGAUGAGCCUGAGCAGAAUAGAAAACUCACAGCAUUGGUAUUGUGAACUUUCUUCCCCACACUUGUUUAAGAUAAAUUAAGACGUGUGCCUUCUUUAUGAGUUCAAGCUGGUAUAGUUUCCCUUCUGAGAGUUUGCUCUCCCAAGUGAUUCCUUAUCAGCUUUGUUAUCUAAUUGUGAUUAGAUUUCUGCCUUUCUUAUUCAAAAUAAACUGUUGUCCUUUUGGCUAGCUGUUUCUUUGAUAAAGAAAUGUUCUAGAAAGAAGUGACAAGAUACAAUUUCUGACAUGUGUUCCAGCAUUUUCUUAUACCACCUGAGCUUCUGCUAUUCUGCUGUAGCCUUCAUAAAUAUAAAUUAUUAUCUGC